rnacentral:rRNA from 1 species
CCUACGGGAGGCAGCAGUGAGGAAUAUUGGACAAUGGGCGCAAGCCUGAUCCAGCCAUGCCGCGUGCAGGAAGAAGCAUCUAUGGUGUGUAAACUGCUUUUGUACGGGAAGAAACACUCCUUCGUGAAGGAGCUGACGUACCGUAAGAUAGAUCAUCCC